rnacentral:rRNA from 1 species
UACAGGGGGUGCAAACGUUGCUCGGAAUUAUUGGGCGUAAAGCGCGCGUAGGCGGUUACUUAAGUCGGAUGUGAAAGCCCUCGGCUUAACUGAGGAAGUGCACCCGAAACUGAGUAGCUAGAGUACGAAAGAGGGUCGCGGAAUUCCCGGUGUAGAGGUGAAGUUCGUAGAUAUCGGGGAGGAACACCGGUGGCGAAGGCGGCGACCUGGGUCGAGACUGACGCUGAGGCGCGAAAGCGUGGGGGAGCAAACAGG